CGUAGGGUCCAAGCGUUAUCCGGAAUUACUGGGCGUAAAGAGUUGCGUAGGUAGCAGAGUAAGUAGGUAGUGAAAUUGUGUGGCUCAACCAUACACCCAUUAUCUAAACUGCUCAGCUAGAGCAUGGAAGAGGUAGCUGGAAUUUCUAGUGUAGGAGUGAAAUCCGUAGAUAUUAGAAGGAACACCGAUGGCGUAGGCAGGCUACUGGUCCAUUGCUGACACUAAGGCACGAAAGCGUGGGGAGCGAACGGGAUUAGAUACCCCGGUAGUCCACGCCGUAAACGAUGGAUGCUAGCUGUUAUCAGUAUCGACCCUGGUAGUAGCGAAGCUAACGCGUUAAGCAUCCCGCCUGUGGAGUACGAGCGCAAGCUUA
rnacentral:rRNA from 1 species